rnacentral:lncRNA from 1 species
AUGGGUUCAUCCAUCUCCGCCAGCUGAUAGAGAUCACAGUUAAUUAAUUCAAGAACACGUUUCGAUCGAUGGACGACGGAGCAAUGGCGGCUUAAGAGGAUCCUCCGAACGUGUCGAAGAUGGUGGUGUGGAGCGGGUCGCUGAGGUGGGUGGCCCAGUUGUUGAGCGGGCCCUUGCCGGUGGCGGCGGCCUGCACGGCGAAGCCGAGGAAGGCGACCAUGGCGAGGCGCGCGUGCUUGAUCUCCGCCAGCUGCAGCCGCUCCUUCUUCUCCGGGUCGGCCGCCAGGCCGAGCGGGUCGAAGUAGGAGCCGCCCGGGUAGAGCCUCUUCUCCGGGUCGAGCUCGGCGUUGCGCUGGAACUCGAUGUAGCCGAUCACGAGCACCUCGAUCCAGAUGAGUGUCGAGAUGGAGAAGGGCAGCGGCUGCCCCAGGUAGGACGACCCGUCCACAAGCUCAACCUGCCAGCCAUCAAUAACGUUCAGGUUAGACGCUUGCAUAAGGAUGGAAUGAAACAAUUUUGGUGCACAUAUGUAUAUAUACAU